UUUAUUGAGAGUUUGAUCCUGGCUCAGGACGAACGCUGGCGGCGUGCUUAACACAUGCAAGUCGAGCGAUGAAGUUCCUU
rnacentral:rRNA from 1 species